GAUGUAAACAAAUCACAUGAUGUAAACAAACCACAUGAUGUAAACAUUGAUGUAAACAAAUCACAUGAUGUAAACAUUGAUGUAAACAUUGAUGUAAACAAAUCACAUGAUGUACACAAACCAUAUGAUGUAAAUAAAUCACAUAAUCUGUAUUAAAAUUACGAAGGUAUCAGGUCUAAUUUUUAGAUGCUUGUUUUUGCUGUGAUAUCUGAAUUCUGAAUGUCACAUUGUGUUCAUUUUUUAUAUAAAUUGUAUGGUAAAUACAAGUGUAUUUGUUCCUUCAUCGAUACUGACAAAAUUUCAAAUUGACUUUUUGUUUGAAACAAUACGUUGUGUAUAUUUCACAUGAGAGAUAAGUAAAUUGAUAAGUGUGACUUAAUGUAGGCCCAUUGAUAAGUGUGACUUAGUGUUGGCCCAUUGAUAAGUGUGACUUAGUGUUGGCCCAUUGAUAAGUGUGACUUAAUUAGUGUUGGCCCAUUGAUAAGUGUGACUUAGUGUUAGCCCAUUGAUAAGUGUGACUUAGUGUUAGCCCAUUGAUAAGUGUGACUUAGUGUUAGCCCAUUGAUAAGUGUGACUUAGUGUUGGCCCAUUGAUAAGUGUGACUUAAUUAGUGUUGGCCCAUUGAUAAGUGUGACUUAAUUAGUGUUGGCCCAUUGAUAAGUGUGACUUAAUUAGUGUUGGCCCUGGCAUAGACACUCCUUGUAGCAGUGUGAUAGAUUUUAUAGAUUAAUGAAUAUGCAUGAGAGAAAUUGAUUGAUGAAUAUGCAUGUUAAAAACAUUAAACUAUUUUGUGAUACAUGUAUAUUAAAGACAAUAAUUUUGUUAAUAAAGAGAUGUAAACUCUUUU